UUAAUUAUACCACAAAAUCAUAGCCCUAUAAAACAAUGACAAGGUUACAAAUCUGUCUGUAAAUAGUAAGACUCAAUGGUGGCAUUAAUGCCAAUGUCCGAAAUUACUAUAGAAACUCUCAAAUAACACUGUUAUCCUUGUAAAUGCUUCCUUAUAAAGACUGCAGUGGGUGCCUACUUCUUCGGGGAAGAGAACUGGACAUUAAAAGAAAUGUUCUGCCUGCAUAAGCUUCCAAUCUACCAAACGGAAGCUGAAACCCCGCCCAGCGAACCCGCCCGGUUGCCCCGAACUUGCCUCCCGUCACGCAAGCUGGAAAGCGACUGGGGGCGGAGCUAAGGGGAGCGGCAAGAAUUCCGGAAAUAUGACCGGACUGGGCGGGGCCUGUUCCUUGGCCUUACGCUCCCGUUGGCGCCGCAUCCUGUCACUAUUUCGCCAAACCUCCAGGCGCCGUCUGUGUGUGAACGGUUACACAGCUUGGCGCCGCGGGCGGAGAACUAUUGGCUAUGCUCAGGAUUCUGCACGCAUGCGUGGAGCUGGACCGUCAGCGUGCGAGUGACGUCACGUGCGCGCCCAUCUAAACUCUUCCUAGGGUUCUUUCUAACUGCGGCAGCAAGUUGUCAAAUUCCCUAGUUGAAUUUGCUUUGGACAUCAGUGUGAAGAAGAACUGAUAUGCCACUUGAAUUAAUAAAGGAAGUCAAUGGGGUGCCUGAAGUUCAGCCUCUGAGUAAAUUACGUAAAGUAGAUUUCGGAUCCCUACAGCCAGGUUACAAUUAUAGCAAGAAAUAUAUUCAGGGAAAACUUUCACUUAUCUCUUUAACUUAUCGUGGAAAUAAAACAGCUGUUUUGCAGAUUGGACUACAAGGACACCAUUGCAGUGGCUAG
rnacentral:lncRNA from 1 species